GGGCUGUGAGAAUUGCCCCUUCUUCAAGAUGGACGAAGACCAUGAGCGUGUUGUAGAAUGUACAACUCCUAAUUUUAAUGGGAUAAUUUCAGUCAUGGAUCCUGCCAGAAGUUGGGCUGCUAGAUGGCUGCGAAUUGGAAGGUUCGUUCCAGGUUGUUACACUCUUGCAGUCUCAGAGGCCCUCCCUGAGGAUUUGCAGAAUUUAUGUGAAGAGGAGCGUGUGCAAUAUGC
rnacentral:misc_RNA from 1 species